UCUCAUUUGCAUUCAACGCUCCUGACGCUUCCCGUGCGCAAAGGGCUGGGGGACCCGAGAUGCCAGGGAGUUCGGAGGGUUGCGAAGCCGCUACCAGUGAAAGAGAUUGACACCUGCUCUGAAUAAUGACCCAGAAGAGAAGCGCUGUGUCAGCACACUCCAAAAAUUUUAGUCAUUUCCUUAAGAUCAAUGAUUCAAUCACAGGCCAAAUGGACUUCAUUCCAAUGCCAUGCCAAGUGUGGGCAGCAAGAAAUGGAGACAUGGCUGAUGGAAUUCACCAGGCCUCCUCCGGGCUGUCCAAGUAUUGAGUGUCUUCUAUGUGCCAGGCGGUAUGCUGAGCAACUUAGAUAUAUUAUCUCGAAUUCUCAUCACUGCCAUGUAAGGUCAGAAGAACUUAAUCCCCCAGCUGCUGGGAGUGCAGCCAGAAGAAGGCCCUCACCUAUUUACCAUUUUUGAGACUUGCUUCUGUUGGAGAAAAAUGUCUGGCCCAAAUCCACACCUCCUUCCAGCAGCAACUGGCAUCCGAUGACCAAUCAAUAUGGGAAUAUAAAGGCCUGACCCCCUCAGGUCUCAUCCUGCAACUCAGGACAGUGCUGAGGAAUUCUCCCAAGUCAGCCAUGGCCUUUGCUGGGAUAGCAUCUCAGCUCCCAUCUCUCUUUUCAGUCCCAUUCCCAUCUCUUCCUUUCACAGAAAAGUUGAUCCCAAGAGCAUUCCUGAGUAUACCUCCUGUAUUCUGAUUUGAGUCACAGAAUCUGCUUCCUGGGGAACCCACCCUGUGUCACCCAUUCUCAUACUGGCCCCCUUGCGGUAAGGUGGUGUCUGUACCUAAAUCUUGAGUUUAACCGAGACCCCACUUUAUCCCAUCCCUGCCUCUGCACUUUGUAGAGCCAGGCUUCUGCUUGGGGAACUGUGCUGAGAUGGUCUGCCCUCCACUGAGGGUUAAGCUGCACCACUGCUGCACAAGGCCAUGGUCAAUAGCUGGAUCUGCAUGGCACAUCAGCAGUUCCUACCUUCCCAGUAGGCAACGCCUUCACCUCCCCGUUGGCCCUGUGCUGGGCAUCUGCCCGAUUCCAGACAGGCCUUUGCUACCUCCUGCCCUCUUGAACCACUGUGCGUGCCUGGUUCACCCACUGGCUGAGCCUCUGCAAUGAACAAGGCCUGUCCUGCUCUAAAGGGUGAAUUGAGACCCAGCCUUUCUCCUUCCAGCACCACUUGACCCCCAUCUCAACAAACACCCCUGUUUUGCAACAGAUGACGCAGAGGGCUCGGUGGGAUCUCAGAAGUGACGACUGAAUCUCACAUAUUGUUUUGCUCCUUUGUAACCUGUGAUUUUCAAGUCUUUGUAGGUCUGGCAGAAGGUGGGACAGAGGGGUUGCAGAUGCACGGGGGGUGAUAUUAAUGGAAUAAACCUCUUUUUUGGCUCUUAAAACGUUACAGCCGUAAACCAGCUAUAAUGGAAAAAAAUAAAAAUCAUUAUGUAAAGAAAAUAAAAAAUAAAGUGGUAUGAUAUAAAAAAUAAAAUAAAAACUUUACAGAAGUUUGAAACUCAAGAAAUCUUAAUGUUUGUGAUCUCGCCAUUUUAACUCGGCACCAGCAACGCUGCAUUGUGAGGAACGCUGCUGGCGCAAACAUUCGUUACUUAGAGUUACCGAACAGCUACAGCUCACCUUUCUUUUCCUAAGUAUUUAGUAAUUCAGAAUUUGCACUCCUACUUGUAUUACCCCUAAGUAGUCUGAAUCAGUGAGGUUUAUAUCCCAGAUACUUUCUUAACCAUUCCCAGCUCAUGACAGAAAGGGGCUUCUGUCCCACUUU